CACACUGUACAAUGGAUUCUCGGCUCCCACAUCGAUGAAGAACGCAGCAAAGCGCGAUAGGUAGUGUGAAUUGCAGAAUACCGUGAAUCAUCGAAUUUUUGAACGCAUAUUGCGCCCGGGUUUGAGCCUGGGCAUGUCUGCCUCAGCGUCGAUUU
rnacentral:rRNA from 1 species